rnacentral:rRNA from 1 species
GAACGCUGGCGGCAUGCUUUACACAUGCAAGUCGAACGGUAACAGGUCUUCGGAUGCUGACGAGUGGCGAACGGGUGAGUAAUGCAUCGGAACGUGCCCAGUCGUGGGGGAUAACGCAGCGAAAGCUGUGCUAAUACCGCAUACGACCUAUGGGUGAAAGCGGGGGAUCGCAAGACCUCGCGCUAUUGGAGCGGCCGAUAUCAGAUUAGCUAGUUGGUGGGGUAAAGGCCUACCAAGGCGACGAUCUGUAGCUGGUCUGAGAGGACGACCAGCCACACUGGGACUGAGACACGGCCCAGACUCCUACGGGAGGCAGCAGUGGGGAAUUUUGGACAAUGGGCGCAAGCCUGAUCCAGCCAUGCCGCGUGUGGGAAGAAGGCCUUCGGGUUGUAAACCACUUUUGUCAGGGAAGAAACGGUCUGGCCUAAUACGCUGGACUAAUGACGGUACCUGAAGAAUAAGCACCGGCUAACUACGUG